UGCCAGCCGCCGCGGUAAUACGGAGGGGGUUAGCGUUGUUCGGAAUCACUGGGCGUAAAGCGUACGUAGGUGGCAAAGUCAGUCAGGCAUGAAAGCCCUCGGCUCAACCGAGGAAUUGCGUUUGAUACUACUUUGCUAGAGUCUCGGAGAAGUUGGCGGAAUUCCAGGUGUAGGAGUGAAAUCCGUAGAUAUCUGGAGGAACACCAGUGGCGAAGGCGGCCAACUGGACGAGUACUGACACUGAGGUACGAAAGCGUGGGUAGCAAACAGGAUUAGAUA
rnacentral:rRNA from 1 species